GAUGAACACUAGCUACAGGCUUAACACAUGCAAGUCGAGGGGCAGCACAGUGUAGCAAUACAUGGGUGGCGACCGGCGCACGGGUGCGUAACGCGUAUCCAACCUUCCCGUUACUCAGGGAUAGCCUUCCGAAAGGGAGAUUAAUACCUGAUGGUGUUCAAAUUCCGCAUGUUAUUCGAACUAAAGAUUUAUCGGUAUCGGAUGGGGAUGCGUGACAUUAGAUAGUAGGCGGGGUAACGGCCCACCUAGUCUACGAUGUCUAGGGGUUCUGAGAGGAAGGUCCCCCACACUGGAACUGAGACACGGUCCAGACUCCUACGGGAGGCAGCAGUGAGGAAUAUUGGUCAAUGGUCGGAAGACUGAACCAGCCAAGUAGCGUGAAGGAUGAAGGUUCUAUGGAUUGUAAACUUCUUUUAUACGGGAAUAAAACCUCCCACGUGUGGGAGCUUGUAUGUACCGUAUGAAUAAGCAUCGGCUAACUCCGUGCCAGCCGCCGCAGUAAUAC
rnacentral:rRNA from 1 species